rnacentral:rRNA from 1 species
AAGUCUGACCUGCCCACUGAAAUUAUUUAAAUGGCCGCAGUAUUCUAACUGUGCAAAGGUAGCAUAAUCAUUAGUCUUUUAAUUGAAGGCUGGUAUGAACGGUUGGACGAGGUAUAAGCUGUUUCAUGUAAAUUUAUAAUAGAAUUUUAUAUUUUAGUUAAAAAGCUAAAAUUUAAUUAAAAGACGAGAAGACCCUAUAAAUCUUUAUAUUUUAUGUUAUUUAAAUUUUUUAGAUUUGUUUUAUUUUUAUAAUUUGAAAUAUUUUGUUGGGGUGAUAUUAAAAUUUAAUGAACUUUUAAUAAUUUAAAAUCAUUAAUUUAUGAUUUAUUGAUCCAUUAAUAGUGAUUAUAAGAUUAAGUUACUUUAGGGAUAACAGCGUAAUUUUUUUGGAGAGUUCAUAUCGAUAAAAAAGUUUGCGACCUCGAUGUUGGAUUAAGAUAUAUUUUUAGGUGUAGUCGCUUAAAU